rnacentral:pre_miRNA from 1 species
AUACUACUCCCUCCGUCCCAAAAUAAGUGACUCAAAAGUGACUCAACUUUACACUACUCAAAAGUGACUCAACUUUACACUAAAGUUAGUGUAAAGUUGAGUCACUUUUGAGUCACUUAUUUUGGGACGGAGGGAGUAAUAG